UGGGGAAUAUUGGACAAUGGGGGAAACCCUGAUCCAGCGACGCCGCGUGUGUGAAGAAGGCCUGCGGGUUGUAACGCACUUUUAGUGGGGACAAAAAGUCACGGAUUAAUACUCUGUGAUCUUGAUUUAACUCACAGAAAAAGCACCGGCUAACUCUGUGCCAGCAGCCGCGGUAAUACAGAGGGUGCGAGCGUUAAUCGGAAUUACUGGGCGUAAAGCGCGCGUAGACGGUUUUGUAAGUCAGAUGUGAAAUCCCCGGGCUCAACCUGGGAACUGCAUUUGAAACUGCAUGGCUAGAGUAUCGAAGAGGGAAGUGGAAUUUCCGGUGUAGCGGUGAAAUGCGUAGAUAUCGGAAGGAACACCAGUGGCGAAAGCGACUUCCUGGUCGAAUACUGACGUUCAUGUGCGAAAGCGUGGGGAGCAAACAGGAUUAGAUACCCUGGUAGUCCACGCCAUAAACGAUGACAACUAGAUGUUGGGAGGGUCUGCCUCCCGGUGUCGCAGCUAACGCGUUAAGUUGUCCGCCUGGGGAGUACGGCCGCAAGGUUG
rnacentral:rRNA from 1 species